CGGUGAGGGACUGUUAUCACCGUGAAACAUCUCCUCGCUGGUUCACUGCGCGCCAGAGCUCCCAUUCACAGUCUAGGUCCUGAAAAUUCAGAGAAUAAAGAAGAUACACUCUCUGCCCUGGAGGAGCCCAUCGGGCCUGCAGGGUCUCCUCUGGAUCAGUUUAAUCAGGGGGCGCCACUGCUUCCCUUGACUGGAGGGCUCUGGCUCAUCUUCAAAACUGUGGGAUCAAACAUCCCAAUGCUCCAGACCUUGUAACCUGAGUUCCCUUUUACAACAGAAUGUCAGCUCCUUGAGGGUCAUUGUGUCUUUCGUAUUCACCACUGUAUCCUUAGCAUAGAGAAGAGUCAGCGCCCGGUCCAUAAUGGAUGUACAGUAAACAUCUGUGAACUUCCUGACUUGCUGGCCCUCAGUUUAUUUUCAGGAAAUAGACGACAGCAAACCUCUGCAGCCCUCCAGAGGGAAACACUCUCCAGUACCCAUUUCAUAUGAGGCCGUGGAAGAUAAUG